CUCUCCCAACCCUUGCCGACGCCUCUGCGUCGGCCAUGCCCUAGCCCUAGCCUCCGCCUCGACGCUCUGCGUCCGCAAGCCCCGAAGAAGCGAUGGCGGAAGGUGAAGCCGUAGCCAAAGGAGGAGCUCCACCACCAGCAGCCGCAGCCGGCGGCGGCGGCCAAGUCUUCGCCGUCGUCGUCGGCGGUGGCCAAGGAGAAGAGGUCGCAGCAGCAGCACGCGGUCGACGAGAAGUACGCCCGGUGGAAGUCCCUCGUCCCCCGUCCUCUACGACUGGCUGGCCAACCACAACCUCCUCUGGCCUUCUCUCUCUUACCGGUUCUUGGUCGAUGCGGAGUGGAAUGUGAAGGACUUGAUACGAUAUGCAUCAAGGACCAAACACUUACCACUGAGAGUGCAGAAAAGGUCAUUGGAUGGGCUCUAAGCCAUCAUUUAAUGUAGAAUCCUGAAUCUAAUGCUGAUUCAGGGCUUGUUCUGCCCAGCGAGAGGUAAGGAAUCGUUCCUUUCUCUGUCAGGAUGCAUGUUUUAUCGGCUGCAAUCUUUGGGUUAAAAUUAGCAAAACCAUUUUGAAAUGUUUGGCAGCAUCCAAUAUGGCAUUGGGAUCUUGCAGGCUAUUCAGAACGAGUCUAAGAGCUUGAAAAAGUCACUCAAGGUUAUCAUAUUUAUUUGGCUACUAAAUUUUGUGUAGCAGGAAUACCUGCGUUAAGAAUCACAAAUUAUCUAACUGUGGGUCAGUUUUUUUUCUGUACAAGAUGUUGUAACUGAAAACGAAUUUGAGAAAAGGCUUCUUACUGAUGUCAUUCCCCCCAGUGACAUAGGAGUCACAUUUGAUGACAUCGGAGCUCUUGAAAAUGUCAAAGAUACAUUGAAGGAGCUAGUCAGGCUUCCUCUACAGAGGCCUGAACUUUUCUGCAAAGGGCAAUUAACCAAGGUUCUGCUUUUCUCUAUGAGCACUCAAUUUGCUCCACUUGAAGUUUGGUCGUAAUAACGAAUUAAUUGGUUCUUGCACAUACUUUUUGGAGCUCUGGCAUUACUUUUCAUUUGUAAUUGUGUUCUGUUAAUGAGUUUGAUAUGUCCAUGUAUAUUGGCCAUAAUAUAUGUACUGACUUUCCUGGUUUAAUCUUGUCUUUUUUUAUAGAAAUUUAUAGGUGUUCUGUUAUGAGGCUACUAUACAGUGUGCAGAAACUUUAUGGUUUUCUAUUUUCUGAGGCUAUAAAGCCUGCACAAAUAUCUAGAAAAGUUGAUCUGCUGGCAAGAAGUUGUUUGAUGCAGGAUUAAUCAUGGUUAAU